rnacentral:tRNA from 1 species
GGAAAGGUGGCCGAGUGGUUUAAGGCGCGGCCCUGGAAAGGCCGUUGGGGAGAAAUCCUCUCGCGAGUUCGAAUCUCGCCCUUUCCG